rnacentral:lncRNA from 1 species
GGAUUCAAGGCAGCAGCCCUGGUUUCUUUGCUUAUGGGUCCGCCAGGCUGUUCAGCAUGACAGGAGGAAGCAGAGUGUGUCUGUGGCCCUCCCACCUGCCACACCACUCAGAGUCAAAUGGAAGCAGACCUUUGGGUGUCCACAUCAUGCUUCUGAAGUCCAGCCAAAAGCUCUUAACAGGAGUCUUCAAAGAAACAGUCUUUCCUCUGGUUAUAUUUGUAUGGUUACCUGCUGUUAUUUCCUGCGCAAGCAAAUAUUGACUGAGUUCCUACAAGUGCGCAUAAAUGGAUCAUGACGGGAGUGGAACUCCAAGCUUCAUACAGGGAAGGCUUGUGUUCUGUCAAUGACCUAGAGCCUCUAGGAAUUAUUGCUUUGUUUGUGUGCAACUUGCAUCUCCCUGCCUAUUUUUGCUACAUUGGGCUUUAUACCCUCUAUCCUUCCAACUUACUUGGCAAAAAAUGCCAAAUGCUAUGCGUUUUCCCCUUUGUCAUUUUCUGAAAUUCUGUUUGUCGUAUAUUUAAUUUACAUUGUUCAUCACGCUGUGCAGUCUUUUUAAUUUCUGUUUCUAAUUCUGAGACCAAACUCUUUAUCAUGUGUUUCUCUCCUAUGUUCGUACUUUUAUAAUCUUUUAGCACGUCUAAUUUUUAAAGAUUUUAUCCUGUGCUUUGUCACUUUCCCCUCUAUUUCCCUCAUUUUUCAUUCUUGCUUUUGGGUUUACAUUCCUAGACUGUGAUCCCGCUGGGCGCCCGCCUGUUACAGAACAGCAGAGGGAUCUCCUGGGAACAGCCUGUCAAAACUGUCUACUUGCCGAUUGGUUACAAUGCUUGGCAGGUGGCGUGUGACUGAUCACUGCUUGAGCAGAAAUGUAUUAAGCUGAUAUGUGGCCACAUGAGAGUCACCUAAACAACUGAUUCUAGAUGAUAAAGUAGCCAAGGAGCAGAAAAAUAAAAUUAUAUGAAUAAAAAGCAAAAUUACAAGUGAAAUCACAUAAAAUAAUGGUAAAAUGUCAAAAAAUGGGCCAAAAUAUCCAUGUUUCUAUUGUUCUCAGACUUACAUUUUCUUGCACCAUGAAACAAUUUUGUUUCCAUAUAGUAUGGAUAUACCUGUUUAAACUGUGAUUUUUCAACAUAUUUUCUAAUUCACGUCUUUAUGUUUCUGUUCCUUGUUCUCUCCCAAUGUUCACUAUAACUGACCUAGAUACUCUACACCAAAAGUAUUUAGUAGAAAAGAAAAUAUAUGGCAUUAUGGCAGUGGAGUGAGAGGUAAUAAAAACCACUAGGAACGUUACCUGGGCUCCUAAUGAAUCCUUGUGAUCCGUUUAGAGAAAGCCGGUCCCCACAGUAUAAUGACAUGGAGUUCUGCAUUUCGGUCUUAAUAAAGCCAGAAAGUAUUCUUUUAUAUACAUUCAAUGAAGAGGAG